CGCGUAGGCGGUUUGUUAAGUCAGCUGUGAAAGCCCUGGGCCCAACCUGGGAACUGCAGUUGAUACUGGCCGACUAGAGUACGAGAGAGGGAGGUAGAAUUCCACGUGUAGCGGUGAAAUGCGUAGAUAUGUGGAGGAAUACCGGUGGCGAAGGCGGCCUCCUGGCUCGAUACUGACGCUGAGGUGCGAAAGCGUGGGGAGCAAACA
rnacentral:rRNA from 1 species